ACCAAUCCUAUGGGAUGCAGCAGUGAGGAAUAUUGGUCAAUGGACGCAAGUCUGAACCAGCCAAGUAGCGUGCAGGAUGACGGCCCUAUGGGUUGUAAACUGCUUUUAUAUGGGGAUAAAGUGGGGAACGUGUUCCCUUUUGCAGGUACCAUAUGAAUAAGGACCGGCUAAUUCCGUGCCAGCAGCCGCGGUAAUACGGAAGGUCCGGGCGUUAUCCGGAUUUAUUGGGUUUAAAGGGAGCGUAGGCGGGCGCUUAAGUCAGCUGUGAAAGUUUGGGGCUCAACCUUAAAAUUGCAGUUGAUACUGGGUGCCUUGAGUGCGGUAUAGGCAGGCGGAAUUCGUGGUGUAGCGGUGAAAUGCUUAGAUAUCACGAAGAACUCCGAUCGCGAAGGCAGCCUUCGGGAGCGCAACUGACGCUGAAGCUCGAAAGUGCGGGUAUCGAACAGGAUUAGAUACCCUGGUAGUCCGCACGGUAAACGAUGGAUGCCCGCUCUGCCGUCUUCGGAUGGCGGGGCCAAGCGAAAGCAUUAAGCAUCCCACCUGGGGAGUACGCCGGCAACGGUGAAACUCAAAGGAAUUGACGGG
rnacentral:rRNA from 1 species